CACCACUCAAGCCUCGCUUGGUAUUGGGCGACGCGGUCCGCCGCGCGCCUCAAAUCGACCGGCUGGGUCGAUCGCACCCUCAGCGUUGUGGAAACUAUUCGCUAAAGGGAUUGUCGGUCGGUCACGCCGUGAAACAAACCAAUUUUCAAU
rnacentral:misc_RNA from 1 species